rnacentral:rRNA from 1 species
AUGGAUGGUGGCAGCAGCAUCAACAUAUUAUACUAUGAUACUUUCUGUCGGAUGAGCCUAACGGAUAAGGAUCUUAAGCCGUCUUCCACAGUUUUUCAUGGAGUGGUGCCUGGUAAGUCGGCGUACCCGAUGGGAAAGAGUGCUCUGGAAGUAGCUUUUGGCGAUGAGUAUAACUACAGAGCAGAGACAUUGUGGUUUGAGGUGGUUAAGAUUAAAAGUCCUUAUCAUGCUUUAUUUGGACGGCCAGCUUAUGCCAAAUUCAUGGCUCACCCUUGUUACGUGUAUCUGCAACUUAAGAUGUUAGGGCCACAGGGGACAAUCACAGUUCAUGGAAAUCGCAAACUCGCCUUGGAGUGCGAGGAAGGAGACACAGCUUACGCAGAGUCGGCUUGUGCCGCAGAGGAGGUCAAGUAUUAUAAAAAUAAUGUUGACCCGGCUGAUAUGACCCCUCUGAAGAAGCCCACCACAGAGACAGAACCGCCACUUAAAUUUAAAUCGGCAAAGGAUACACAGCAAGUUGACUUUAUUCCUGGUGAUUCUUCUCAACAGUUCACCCUUGGGACAGGGAUGGGUCCCAAAUAG